UACGGAGGGUGCAAGCGUUACUCGGAAUCACUGGGCGUAAAGGGCGCGUAGGCGGCCUAGCAAGUCUGGUGUGAAAGCCCAGGGCUCAACCCUGGAAGGGCACUGGAAACUGUUAGGCUUGAGUUCCGGAGAGGAGGGGGGAAUUCCCGGUGUAGCGGUGAAAUGCGUAGAUAUCGGGAGGAAUACCGGUGGCGAAGGAGCCCAUCUGGACGGAAACUGACGUUGAGGCGCGAAAGCGUGGGGAGCAAACAGG
rnacentral:rRNA from 1 species